rnacentral:rRNA from 1 species
GCUUGUCUCAAAGAUUAAGCCAUGCAUGUCUUAGUGUAAAUAACUCUUAUGAAACUGCGAAUGGCUCAUUAAAUCAGUUAUCAAAUACGUGAUGGUCGCCUACUACAUGGAUAACCGUAGUAAUUCUAGAGCUAAUACAUGCACAAAGGCCCGACUCACGAAGGGCUGUAUUUAUUAGAUUUAAAGCCGACAUCUUUUGGUGAUUCAUAAUAACUGUUCGAAGCGCACGGCCUCGCGCCGGCGCUAGUUCAUUCAAAUUUCUGCCCUAUCAGCUUUCGACGGUAGUGUAGUGGACUACCGUGGCGCUAACGGGUGACGGAGAAUUAGGGUUCGGUUCCGGAGAGGGAGCCUGAGAAACGGCUACCACAUCCAAGGAAGGCAGCAGG